rnacentral:rRNA from 1 species
UUGAACGCUGGCGGCAGGCCUAACACAUGCAAGUCGAGCGGUAGCACAGAGAGCUUGCUCUCGGGUGACGAGCGGCGGACGGGUGAGUAAUGUCUGGGAAACUGCCUGAUGGAGGGGGAUAACUACUGGAAACGGUAGCUAAUACCGCAUAACGUCGCAAGACCAAAGUGGGGGACCUUCGGGCCUCAUGCCAUCAGAUGUGCCCAGAUGGGAUUAGCUAGUAGGUGGGGUAAUGGCUCACCUAGGCGACGAUCCCUAGCUGGUCUGAGAGGAUGACCAGCCACACUGGAACUGAGACACGGUCCAGACUCCUACGGGAGGCAGCAGUGGGGAAUAUUGCACAAUGGGCGCAAGCCUGAUGCAGCCAUGCCGCGUGUGUGAAGAAGGCCUUCGGGUUGUAAAGCACUUUCAGCGGGGAGGAAGGCGAUAAGGUUAAUAACCUUGUCGAUUGACGUUACCCGCAGAAGAAGCACCGGCUAACUCCGUGCCAGCAGCCGCGGUAAUACGGAGGGUGCAAGCGUUAAUCGGAAUUACUGGGCGUAAAGCGCACGCAGGCGGUCUGUCAAGUCGGAUGUGAAAUCCCCGGGCUCAACCUGGGAACUGCAUUCGAAACUGGCAGGCUAGAGUCUUGUAGAGGGGGGUAGAAUUCCAGGUGUAGCGGUGAAAUGCGUAGAGAUCUGGAGGAAUACCGGUGGCGAAGGCGGCCCCCUGGACAAAGACUGACGCUCAGGUGCGAAAGCGUGGGGAGCAAACAGGAUUAGAUACCCUGGUAGUCCACGCCGUAAACGAUGUCGAUUUGGAGGUUGUGCCCUUGAGGCGUGGCUUCCGGAGCUAACGCGUUAAAUCGACCGCCUGGGGAGUACGGCCGCAAGGUUAAAACUCAAAUGAAUUGACGGGGGCCCGCACAAGCGGUGGAGCAUGUGGUUUAAUUCGAUGCAACGCGAAGAACCUUACCUGGUCUUGACAUCCACAGAACUUUCCAGAGAUGGAUUGGUGCCUUCGGGAACUGUGAGACAGGUGCUGCAUGGCUGUCGUCAGCUCGUGUUGUGAAAUGUUGGGUUAAGUCCCGCAACGAGCGCAACCCUUAUCCUUUGUUGCCAGCGGUUAGGCCGGGAACUCAAAGGAGACUGCCAGUGAUAAACUGGAGGAAGGUGGGGAUGACGUCAAGUCAUCAUGGCCCUUACGACCAGGGCUACACACGUGCUACAAUGGCAUAUACAAAGAGAAGCGACCUCGCGAGAGCAAGCGGACCUCAUAAAGUAUGUCGUAGUCCGGAUUGGAGUCUGCAACUCGACUCCAUGAAGUCGGAAUCGCUAGUAAUCGUAGAUCAGAAUGCUACGGUGAAUACGUUCCCGGGCCUUGUACACACCGCCCGUCACACCAUGGGAGUGGGUUGCAAAAGAAGUAGGUAGCUUAACCUUCGGGAGGGCGCUUACCACUUUGUGAUUCAUGACUGGGGUG